rnacentral:lncRNA from 10 species
CUGCCUGAGCCAGUGUGGCAACCCUCUCGGGUCCCCUUCCACACUGUGGAAGCUUCGUUCUUUCGCUCUUUGCAAUAAAUCCUGCUGCUGCUCGCUUUUUGGGUUCACACUGCCUUUAUGAGCUGUAACACGGCGAAGGUCUGCAGCUUCUCUCCUGAGCCAGCGAGACCACGAAUCCCACCAGAAGGAAGAAACUCCGAACACAUCUGAACAUCAGAAGGAACAAACUCCAGGCGCGCCACCUUAAGAGCUGUAACACUCACCGCAAGCGUCCGCGGUUUCAUUCUUGAAGUCAGUGAGACCAAGAACCCACCAAUUCUGGACACACUAUGGCAAAGCCCAGAAGAGGCAGGGUGAUGAUAUCUCCCAAAACCAGUGACUCUGAAGCCAUGGAAGUGCCACCAUACAGAAGCUAUAAUGGAAAACAGUCAAUCAAAACUGUGGCCUCUUAGAGAGGAAGGUGUGAAGCCUCUCCUCACAUUUCUGCAAUCUUCUGCUGGUAAGUGGGAGUGAAGGCAAAGAAAGAAUAACUAGAAAAACAGUCAAGUGGAACAGCAUAUGCAGAGAGGAUCAAGAAUGAAAGAAUAAAUUUUGAUUUUGAUUUUUGGGAUGCAUAAAACAUGCUAGAUGCCAACUCUUUCUUGAUGUGAAGAGUACUAAUAAGAAGUUUAAAAUGAGAAAUAUGAAACAUAUGACUCAAAGAGAGAGAGACAGAGUAAUCACCAGGUAUUUCUAGAGUCAACAUGGGCAUUGAAGAGACUGCAGAAAAGCUACAGGGGAAAGGGCUAUGUGAAAAUUUGGGAAAGCCCAGAUUUGAAGCUCAAAGAUGUGGGGAUUUCUUUCCAAUGUUUAUUGGUUCUAAUCAGUGGCUUCUUCAUUUACUAUAUAGUGGUACAAGACUUAAAAGAGGAUUAAAAUGUGGAAGAGCUGUGCUUGCUUCUGAGAAUGUUCAAAAGAAUAAAAUUGACUCAAAGAACUAUUAUGCAUGCAUAUUGAGGAAAGUAGAGAAAUUUAGGAAAAGCUUUAUUUAGGAGUGGUGAAAGAAGCAAAUAGACCAAGUCAUAGAGGUUUAUAGAAAAUCAUAGGAGGGUGUGCAAGGGAAAAAUUCCAAAAUAUAAUAGAAUCAAGUUUCUACCAGAAACCCCUAGAUGCCCUGAUUUUGUCAUCCUAAAGCAGUAAUUCAUUCUCCAGUUAGAAUAUCCACUGCAUAACAGCAUGUCUCAUGUCUGUGCUUUAUGGCUAGUAGCAAUUUUAUUGACCUCAGUGUCCAGAAAUGCAGACCGGAAA